rnacentral:lncRNA from 1 species
UGCAAUUCAAGCUUUAAUGUCCCUAAAUUAAAUUUCAUUGGGAUACCGUCCUGCUCAUUUGUUUAUAUUUUGUUUAUAACUGCCUUUGUGCGAAAGCAGCAGAGUUGAAUAUUUGCUAAGACCGUAUGUUCUGCAAAUCCUAAAUAUUUUACUAUCUCAUCUUUUACAGAAAAAGUUUGUAGCUCCUGGGUUAGGAUUUACGAGAUUAAGAGCAAGCCUUCAAGGUCCAAUAAUAGAGUGUUGUUGCCUUCUGUAGACAGUAGAGGGCAGCAGAGAGCUGAUGGGCUGGAGAUUCUAUACCGUUUCUGCAGCCGGGAAGCCCGGGAUGGUUUCUGCCAAGGGCACCAGGGCUCUUGGGCUGGAAAGGGAAACCACCAGAAUGCUUGUGAGGCUGAUUUGGGAGAAAGUAGAAUCUUCUGGGGAGAAGGCAAUGGCACCCCACUGGAAAAUCUCAUAGAUGGAGGAGGAGGAGGGGGAGGAGGAAGAGGACGGAGCAGCCUGGUAGGCUGCAGUCCAUGGGGUCGCGAAGAGUCGGACACGACUGAGCGACUUCACUUUCACUUUUCACUUUCAUCCAUUGGAGAAGGAAAUGGCAGCCCACUGCAAUGUUCUUGCCUGGAGAAUCCCAAGGACGGCGGAGCCUGGUGGGCUGCCGUCUAUGCGGUCGCACAGAGUCGGACACGACUGAAGCGACUUAGCAGCAGCAGCAGAAUCUUCUGGAGUCUCUCUGCAUCCCUCCCGCUUUCCUGUCUUUAUGUAAAUACUAGACUGUGCUCUGUCUGCUCUCUUGGAGAUCAAAUCCAAGCUCUAUCAGUCUGGUUCCCAAAGCUCCAUCUCUCUCUGCCUUUAUUUCUUGAUCUUCAUUGCUUGGCUCCAUCAGUGUGUUGUUGUUCAGUCAGUAGAAAGUGAAGUCGCUCAGUCAUGUCCGACUGUUUGUGACCCCAUGGGCUGUAGCCUACCAGGCUCCUCCGUCCAUGGAAUUUUCCAGGCAAGAGUACUGGAGUGGGUUGCCAUUUCCUUCUCCAGGGGAUCUUCCCAACCCAGGGAUUGAACCCAGGUCUCCCGCAUUGCAGGCAGACACUUUCCCAUCUGAGCCACCAGGGAAGCCCUGUCACUAAGACCAACUCUUUUCAACCCCAUGGACGGCAGCACACCAGGAUUCCCUGUCCUUCACUCUCUCCCAAAUUUUGCUUAUAUUCAUGACCAUUGAGUCAGUGAGCUGACUCCAAACCUGAUAGUUCAAUAAUACAGAUACCGUGCUCC